CGGCAGAGUUGUCUGCGUCCCAGGUUGUACUUCUCGGCAAUUCCCGAGUAAACCUGUUGUUGCUAGUAAAACAACCGGCAGUUUUAUUUUUAAGGGUAACAGAAAGCCUACGAGGGCCAGCCGCUGCAGGACCUGACCACCGAAGCAUUCCUGACACUGUGUAAUCCCAGGAAGAUGGAGUUCCACACCAGUGACUUGAAACCUGAAUAAGACAGACCCAGAAAUUGAGACAUAAAACUGCAGAGCAAGCUCGCAAGCAGAGGGGAAGGGCAAGGGGAGAGAAUCUUCAGCAGACUCCACAUUGAGCACAGAGCCGGAUGGGGCACCAUCUCACGACCCUGAGAUCAUGACCCGAGCUGAAACCAAGAGUCGGAGGCUUAACUGACUGAGCCACCCAGGUGCUCCUGAAUGCAAAUUUUUAAAGACAUAAUCAUACAUUCCUUUUGCAAGUCAUAAUGAAUUUUAAGACCAUCCAAACUCAUUUACUUGAAAAUAAAAUAUCACCCCAGCAACAGACAUGGUAAGAAGUCCCUGAAGGUAGAAACCCAUUUCCCUAGAAAUGGAUUUAUUUUGCAGUUAAAUAGUAAGUGAAGGAAGAAACAAGGGCGACUCUAUAGAAAUGUUUGUUUCAGGGCUCAGAUUUUAAAAAGUUACAGCUAUUGCCUCAGAAAGAACACUGUACUUGGAAACUGAAAAUAUGAGUUUGGGUCCUGGUUCUGUAAUUUGUCAACUCUAUUGCCUUGGAAAAAUAACUUCACCUCCCUAAAUAUCAAAAUUUCAAUCUUAAAAUAUGGAUAAAAUUAUAACAAGUACACAGUUGUAAGCACAAUGGCUAGUAAAAAUGGGCUGCUCAAUAAAUAUUUGUUACAUAAUGGUGUUUGUUUAUGAGAGUACUUUGCAAACUGUGGAUCAUAGCACUUUCUGUUACUAUAGUAACAGCACCUGACACACAUUACUUAGUUACUUAGUUGUUUUUUGUGUGUUCUGCCUCCCCCACCACACACACACAAAAUGCAAGCUCCAUGAAAGCAGGAAUCUUCACUUUUUUUGGAUCUGUUUCUCGAUUGUUUUCACUUUUUGGAAUUUAAAACAAAGGCCAUCAGGGCAGAGAAAUGGAUAAUGGUUGUGGAAAGAUUUUGUGUUUCAGUUUCUCUCUUCUCAUAUAAUUUUGAAAGCCAGACAGAGAUAUCUAUAGCAGAAAGAGCUCUUGGCUCUGAUUUACAUACCUUAACACAGUGAAUACAAUUUUCUCUUAAUAAAAAUUCAGUCUCGGGGGGCACCUGGGUAGCUCAGUAGGUUGAGCAUCUGCCUUCAGCUCAGGUCGGGUCUUGGGAUAGAGCCCCACUCGCUGCUCAGCAGGGAGCCUGCUUCUCCUCCUCCCUUUGCCCCUCCCCCUGCUUGUGCUCACCUGUGCUCUCUCUGUCAAAUAAAUAAAAUCUUAAAAAAAAAAAAAGGAAUUCAGUCUGGGGUGCCUGGCUGGCUCAGUCAGAAGAGCAUGCCACUCUUGAUCUUGGAGCUGUGAGUUUGAGCCCCAUGUUGGGGGUAGAGAUACUUAAAAAUAAAAUCUUAAAAAAAAA